CAUCUUUAGCGCUUUCCGUUCAGUGUCGCCGUUCUCACUUUUUUUUUUUUAAUAGAUUUUUAUAUGACACACAUAAUUACAGAAACUUUAGCGUUUUGUUAAAACUCUCGAGACCAUGGUUACUGAAAGAGUUAUUCUGGAUGUCGCACAAUUUCGCCUUUUAAAUAUACUGUUAUGAACUUAUAACGCUAGAAUUCGUUGCAUUUGUUAUUAUGGAUUUCUGCGGUAUGGCAAUACGUUUAACAUGACGUGACACUUGUGCUGUGUUGCUCUCCAAGGAAACCGAUGCUCAGAGAACCAGCACUAAUGUUCUACUACUACUUAUUGGAAAUUGUCAGAACAUGAUGGAUGUGGAUCAUCAUGCUUUGCAGAAGGCUGGGGAGAAGUUUGCAUUCAUUUUAUAAAAAGCUCACUGUAACGCUCCAUUGAUCAGUGAUCAUGGGAGCCGAACAGCUGAGCGAGGACAUGAUGGUUUUGGAAUAGCGCAUAUGUUGCCCGCACCCUGUUUGGCAGCUGCAGCCCUUUGUAUCACUGCAAGCCCGACAACUCUUUACAGGUUCCUCUGUCAGGACCUCAUGAGAUUUGUUCCUGAUGUGCUUUAUUGUGGAGCCAGAUUCAUUAUGGGUGAUUUUUCAAUUUGGAAAUGGCCGCCGCUGACAGAAGUAAUGAGUCGGAGGGGGGAAAAACUCAAUCUCGAUAGCGCACGCACAGCAGCCAUUUGUUUCCCACAAGUGGAGCCGAUAGGUGGGGGAUGCUUGGAAAUGUCACGAGGAGGACAGGCCUUGAUUACUGCAGUUUUUACUAUAGCGAUUAAACCAGAAGUGGAGUUUUGAAAAGAAGUUCAUUAACAUUUCUCAAAUGAGCAGGACAGACAGUGAUAGAGAGGAGGAAACCGAAAGGAGAAGGGGCUCGUGAUAUAGCAAAAGUAAUUUUUCCUGAGUGUGAGUUGGCUUUGCAUAGCAUGGUUCACUUGCUUGAGUUCUUCAAUGAAGUAUAACAUCAGGUAGAAUGGCCCAUCACCUACAACUCAUGGUUCAUGUUUGCCCUCUGGGAGGUAAAAUGUACUUGACCGGACCUAAUUUAUACCAUCCAAUAAAACAGUCAACUCAUCAUGUCCUUUUGACCUCCCCAGCACUACCCUACAAGCCCGAUUACUUGUUUUAUGGCACAGAUUAUAUUGAGUUCAGUCCAUUUAAUCAACAUAUGCGUCAAAAGCAACCAAUCUGCUUAUUAUUCAAAGAUCUGGUUGGGGCCAGGUUAGGGCAACUCCAGUACCAAUAACAUUUGGACUUAUAAACUUUUACGGCCAAUAAAUUAUGAAUUAUGAAUCCAAA
ensembl:lncRNA